rnacentral:misc_RNA from 1 species
UCUCUCUCUCUCUCUCUCAUAUUUGUUGUCUCUUGCUUUGAUGUUCGACUCGUGUUGGGUCCAAUUGCUUUGUGGAUGUAUGUUUACGUUGAAUCUAAAAGAUUAACUAUAGGGUUUGAGUGUUAAAGACAGAUGCUGGAAAAGCGUUGGUUGUGUUGUGAUUGGAUAAAUUUUGUUCUAUUCUAGAGGAUCCUUUAAAUGAUUAGCAUCAUGAAAUUUACUUAUCUAUUUAUUUAAUCAGUGGCAAAGAGGACAUCCGUGUUUG